GACGAACGCUGGCGGCGUGCUUAACACAUGCCAGUCGAACGGAAAGGCCCUGCUUUUGUGGGGUGCUCGAGUGGCGAACGGGUGAGUAACACGUGAGUAACCUGCCCUUGACUUUGGGAUAACUUCAGGAAACUGGGGCUAAUACCGGAUAGGAGCUCCUGCUGCAUGGUGGGGGUUGGAAAGUUUCGGCGGUUGGGGAUGGACUCGCGGCUUAUCAGCUUGUUGGUGGGGUAGUGGCUUACCAAGGCUUUGACGGGUAGCCGGCCUGAGAGGGUGACCGGCCACAUGGGGACUGAGAGACGGCCCAGACUCCUACGGGAGGCAGCAGUGGGGAACAUGGCACAAUGGGCGGAAGCCUGAUGUAGAAACGCCGCGUGCGGGAUGCCGGCCUUCGGGGUGAAAACAGCUUUCGCCUGUGACGAAGCGUGAGUGACGGUAAUGGGUAAAGAAGCACCGGCUAACUACGUG
rnacentral:rRNA from 1 species